rnacentral:lncRNA from 1 species
GCUCGGUACGGCGGGCGGAGCGCUGCUUGCCGGCCGGCUGUCAGCGCAGCCUCCUUCCCUUUCAUAUUGAGCCCUCCGGGCUAAGGGCAGGCGGAAGGGAGGCGGGCGGCUGCUGCCUGCUCGGGGCGCCGGGGCGGUCGCGAGGGGCGGGGCGGGAGUGCCGCUGGUGUGCGGGUAAACGUCCGGCUAUUUUUGUGCGUUGCUUUGUGCAGGAGACGUUAGUAGUUCUGAGGCGGUGUUUGCGGUCUGUGCGCGUCUUUGUGCUUUGUUGUCGUUCGGUGAGGUAACGUUGGCUGCUCGCUAGGGAUGCUGAGCUGCCAGGGGCACGUGGGCACGUCUGCAUCCCGGCCCUCUCUUCGCUGCCCGAUUAACCUCGGUUUCACAGAUGCUGGUCGUGCUGAAGCCCCGAGCUCUGCCCGUCCAACGAACGCUAUCGGGAACUGCCGGGUGAUGUGUAACAGUGAUGGGCAGAAUGUGCUCUGCUGCAUAAGGCACAGCGAGAGCUUCUGACUAACAGAAACAGUCUACCAGCUACUGCCACGUUUUCAUCUAUUGGUAAACAUCAUCUGCCAGUUGCUCUUAUGGGAGGAGGAUUGAAUUACUUCCAGAUGGAGAGCUCCUUCAGCCAAUUUUAGGCUUUCCAGCUGAUGUAAGACAGCAGGUCAGUAAUUCAGAGGUGUGGUUUUAUUCUUCUUCUUGCUGUUCUGCUUCCUACCACUAGUGGAAUUGGUGAUGUUAAAUACGAUAACGUGAUGCUGCCCAAAG